rnacentral:rRNA from 1 species
GAUGAACGCUGGCGGCGUGCCUAAUACAUGCAAGUCGAGCGAACAGACAAGGAGCUUGCUCCUCUGACGUUAGCGGCGGACGGGUGAGUAACACGUGGAUAACCUACCUAUAAGGCUGGGAUAACUUCGGGAAACCGGAGCUAAUACCGGAUAAUAUAUUGAACCGCAUGGUUCAAUAGUGAAAGACGGUUUUGCUGUCACUUAUAGAUGGAUCCGCGCCGCAUUAGCUAGUUGGUAAGGUAACGGCUUACCAAGGCAACGAUGCGUAGCCGACCUGAGAGGGUGAUCGGCCACACUGGAACUGAGACACGGUCCAGACUCCUACGGGAGGCAGCAGUAGGGAAUCUUCCGCAAUGGGCGAAAGCCUGACGGAGCAACGCCGCGUGAGUGAUGAAGGUCUUCGGAUCGUAAAACUCUGUUAUUAGGGAAGAACAAAUGUGUAAGUAACUAUGCACGUCUUGACGGUACCUAAUCAGAAAGCCACGGCUAACUACGUG